UACGUAGGCAGCAAGCGUUGUUCGGAGUUACUGGGCGUAAAGAGUGCGUAGGCGGUGCCCUAAGUCUGUUGUGAAAUCUCCCGGCUUAACUGGGAGGGUGCGGUGGAAACUGGGGUGCUUGAGUGUGGGAGAGGUUAGCGGAAUUCCUGGUGUAGCGGUGAAAUGCGUAGAUAUCAGGAGGAACACCGGUGGUGUAGACGGCUAACUGGACCACGACUGACGCUGAGCUGCGAAAGCUAGGGGAGCAAACAGG
rnacentral:rRNA from 1 species